rnacentral:rRNA from 1 species
UAAGACGAACCGUGCAAACGUUAUUCGGAAUCACUGGGCUUAAAGGGCGCGUAGGCGGGCUCUCAAGUCUGUGGUGAAAUACUCCAGCUCAACUGGAGAACUGCCGCGGAUACUGGGGGUCUCGAGGGAGGUAGGGGCGCGCGGAACACUAGGUGGAGCGGUGAAAUGCGUUGAUAUCUAGUGGAACUCCGGUGGCGAAGGCGGCGCGCUGGACCUCUUCUGACGCUGAGGCGCGAAAGCCAGGGGAGCGAACGGGAUUAGAUACCCCGGUAGUCCUGGCCCUAAACGUUGGGUACUAGAUAGUGGCCUUCACAUGGGGUCACUGUCGAAGCAAAAGUGCUAAGUACCCCGCCUGGGGAGUAUGGUCGCAAGGCUG